rnacentral:rRNA from 1 species
AGAGUUUGUAUCCGUGGCUACACGGAGUGAACGCUGCGGCGUGCUAACACAUGCAAGUCGAACGGAGUUACGAAUGAAACCUAGUGAUUCGUAACUUAGUGGCGGACGGGUGGAGUAACGCGUGGAUAACCUGCCUUGCACUGGGGGAGUAACACUUAGAAAUAGGUAGCUAAUACCGCAUAAGCGCACAGAGCCGCAUGGCUCAGGUGUGAAAAACUCCGGUGGUGUAAGAUGGAUCCGCGUCUGAUUAGCUGGUUGGCGGGGUAGAAGCCCACCAAGGCGACGAUCAGUAGCCGGCCUGAGAGGGUGAACGGCCACAUUGGGACUGAGACACGGCCCAAACUCCUACGGGAGGCAGCAGUGGGGAAUAUUGCACAAUGGGGGAAACCCUGAUGCAGCAACGCCGCGUGAAUGAAGAAGUCAUUCGUGAUGUAAAGCUCUAUCAGCAGGGAAGAAAAUGACGGUACCUGAGUAAGAAGCCCCGGCUAACUACGUG